rnacentral:sRNA from 1 species
AGCUACCGCAGCAGAGCCCCAGCGAGCGGGCGGCGGCGCCAUGGCGUGCGCGGGGCUGCUCACCGUGUGCCUGCUCCGGCCGCCCGCGCCCCAGCCCCAGCCCCAGACCCCGCGGCACCCCCAGCUCGCGCCGGACCCGGGGCCCGCCGGACACACGCUCUUCCAGGACGUUUUCCACAGAGCAGACAAGAAUGGUGAGUGUAGCUUCCCCUGGGUCCCACGGUGGGGCAGAGUGGGAGGCAUCCAGGAGACCCAGGGAGAGUUGGGAGGUUGGGUGGGAAGUCAAGAGUUGAGACAAAUCUUAGGGGCCCAAAACAGGAGAAUCAAUCAAGGCACUUCCUAGAGGAAGUGCUGUUCUCAGCCAAGUUUGGCAGGAUGGAGAGUGGAGAGAAUGUGGUUUGGCCACGGACUGGAGAUAGGGGCUGAUUUUCACACAGCAUCCUGGCAUGGUGAUGGGCACUUCCUGUACGUGGCCCUCUGUUGUCCUCACAGCCACCAGCUAGAUUGGAAUUCACCCUAUUUCAUAAAGGAGCAGAGGCCCAGAGAGGUGAAGCAAGU